CGGGGGGGGCAAGCGUUGUUCGGAAUUCCUGGGCGUCAAGGGCGCGUAGGCGGCGCGGUAAGUCACUUGUGAAAUCUCUGAGCUUAACUCAGAACGGCCAAGUGAUACUGCAGUGCUAGAGUGCAGAAGGGGCAAUCGGAAUUCUUGGUGUAGCGGUGAAAUGCGUAGAUAUCAAGAGGAACACCUGAGGUGAAGACGGGUUGCUGGGCUGACACUGACGCUGAGUGCGCGAAAGCCAGGGGAGCAAACGGG
rnacentral:rRNA from 1 species